CACGUAGGAGUCGAGCGUUAUCCGGAUUUACUGGGCGUAAAGCGCGUGUAGGCGGGGUCUUAAGUCAUGCGUGAAAGCUCUCGGCUUAACCGGGAGAGGUCGUGUGAAACUGGGGCUCUCAGAGGUAGGUAGAGGCAGAUGGAAUUCCGGGUGGAGUGGUGAAAUGCGUAGAGAUCCGGAGGAACACCAGUGGCGAAGGCGAUCUGCUAGGCAUGACCUGACACUCAGACGCGACAGCAUGGGGAGCGAACGGG
rnacentral:rRNA from 1 species